rnacentral:piRNA from 1 species
UAUUCAAUUGGUUGCAGUCGU